GCGUGUGGAUCAAGGACUGGAACGUAGCCCCUUUACAGCCACCGUGGAAAGGACCUCAAACCAUCAUCCUGACCACCCCCACGGCUGUAAAGGUAGAAGGAAUCCCAGCCUGGAUCCACAACAGCCAUGUGAAACCUACAGCCACUGAAAACUAGGAGACAAAACCGAGCCUGGACAAGCCCUGCAAAGUGACUCUGAGGAGGACGACAAGCCCUGCUCCAGUCACAUCCAGAAGCUGACUGGUCUACGCACGGCUGAAGCAUGAGGAGAAUCAUCGUAAAACUCAUUUUCCUUAUAAUUUGGACUUGUAUAGUAAAAACUUCCACUGAUUUUCCCCGCAUGAAAGACUACUCUUAGUGUAUACAUCAGGUUACUGAGAUUCUUGGCCUUCCCACCCUACCCCGCAUGAUACAGAUACACUUUUAGGCAUCUGCAAUGGAUACGCUUGCUCCAGCCAAAGGGUAUUGAAAAAAGCAUGAACAGCUAAUAUGAAUGUCAAAAGGAAGUAACUUCAUCAACUGAAGAAUCUGGCCUGCAUAUCACUGGGCAUCAGG
rnacentral:lncRNA from 1 species